rnacentral:rRNA from 1 species
AAAGGCAUAAGGGAGCUUGACUGCGAGACCUACAAGUCGAGCAGGGUCGAAAGACGGACUUAGUGAUCCGGUGGUUCCGCAUGGAAGGGCCAUCGCUCAACGGAUAAAAGCUACCCCGGGGAUAACAGGCUUAUCUCCCCCAAGAGUUCACAUCGACGGGGAGGUUUGGCACCUCGAUGUCGGCUCAUCGCAUCCUGGGGCUGUAGUCGGUCCCAAGGGUUGGGCUGUUCGCCCAUUAAAGCGGUACGCGAGCUGGGUUCAGAACGUCGUGAGACAGUUCGGUCCCUAUCCGUCGUGGGCGUAGGAAAUUUGAGAGGAGCUGUCCUUAGUACGAGAGGACCGGGAUGGACAUACCUCUGGUGUACCAGUUGUCGUGCCAACGGCAUAGCUGGGUAGCUAUGUGUGGACGGGAUAAGUGCUGAAAGCAUCUAAGCAUGAAGCCCCCCUCAAGAUGAGAUUUCCCAACUUCGGUUAUAAGAUCCCUCAAAGAUGAUGAGGUUAAUAGGUUCGAGGUGGAAGCAUGGUGACAUGUGGAGCUGACGAAUACUAAUCGAUCGAAGACUUAAUCAAAA